AGGCUUAACACAUGCAAGUCGAGCGGUAACAUGUCUAGCUUGCUAGAAGAAUGACGAGCGGCGGACGGGUGAGUGAAUACUUAGGAAUCUACCUAGUAGUGGGGGAUGAGCUCGGGGAAACUCGAAUUAAUACCGCAUGACGACCUACGGGAGAAAGGGGGCAACUUGUUGCUCUCGCUAUUAGAUGAGCCUAAGUCGGAUUAGCUAGAUGGUGGGGUAAAGGCCUACCAUGGCGACGAUCUGUAGCUGGUCUGAGAGGAUGAUCAGCCACACCGGGACUGAGACACGGCCCGGACUCCUACGGGAGGCAGCAGUGGGGAAUAUUGGACAAUGGGGGAAACCCUGAUCCAGCCAUGCCGCGUGUGUGAAGAAGGCCUUUUGGUUGUAAAGCACUUUAAGCAGUGAAGAAGACUCUUCGGUUAAUACCCGGAGACGAUGACAUUAGCUGCAGAAUAAGCACCGGCUAACUCUGUGCCAGCAGCCGCGGUAAUACAGAGGGUGCAAGCGUUAAUCGGAAUCACUGGGCGUAUAGGGAGCGUAGGUGGCUCGAUAAGUCAGAUGUGAAAUCCCCGGGCUCAACCUGGGAACUGCAUCUGAUACUGUCGAGCUAGAGUAUGUGAGAGGAAUGUAGAAUUCCAGGUGUAGCGGUGAAAUGCGUAGAGAUCUGGAGGAAUACCGAUAGCGAAGGCAGCCCUCCUGGCAUACUACUGACACUGAGGCUGAAUAGCGUGGNAGCCACCAGGAAUAGAUACCCUGGUAGUCACGCCGUAACGAUGUCACUAGUCGUGGGNUCGUGAGGACAUAGCGACGCAGCUACGCAUANGUUGACC
rnacentral:rRNA from 1 species